CACGCUCCUCCAGGGCGCAGAGAGCAUCAAAGCAUUAUCACCGACCCAACACACACCGGCGCUGCGUAGUUUCUGCCACACAGCUGUCUGACACCGGGUGUACGGCGUCACCCCUCACUUCCUGGACAAGGCAACAUUUUCCUAAAGGUCAAAGGAGAAAAAUCCUAUCAUCUGAGGUGCUGAACAAAGAAUUCAAUAAAUUCAAUCAAUCUGAUGCACUCUGCAGUCAUUCUAAGUUCUUGUCUACUAAAAUCCUCAACUACUACACAUCCACAAUCGCUUCUGUGAAACUCUUGGGACCAAAUGGUUCAGAAUUUGUCUCCCAUACAUACAUAAUAUCUAUGUCAAGGCCUGUAGUAAUACUGUGGAAUCUAAUACAAUGAUAUUUCUGUAGUGAAACAUACAAAUGUUCACUCCAAGAUCUAAAGAUUACAAAUAGCAUCAUGUCAGUUCAAAUCAGGUUUUAUGGAUAAAUGAGUCAGGAAAAGUAUGUUUUUCAAAGCAUUUUGAAUGUUAGACUUGUGCACAAGGGAUUGUGAGUCUGAAUCAUAUUUCCGUCAAC
rnacentral:lncRNA from 1 species